GAUGAACGCUGGCGGCGUGCUUAACACAUGCAAGUCGAACGGACAGGCCCUGCUUUUGUUUGUCGCUCGUGUGGCGAACGCGUGAGUAACACGUGAGUAACCUGCCCUUGACUUUCGGAUAAAUUCAGGAAACUGGGGCUAUUACCGCGUAUGAUCUCCUGCUGCACGGUGGGGGUUGGAAAGUUUCGGCGGUGUGGGCUGGACUCGCGGCUUCUCCGCUUGUUGGUGGGGUAGUGGCUUACAAAGGCUUUGACGGGUAGGCGGCCUGAGAGGGGGACCGGCGACAAGGGGACUGCGAGACGGCGCAGUCGGCUACGGGAGGCAGCGGGGGGGAAUAUGGCACAACGGGGGGAAGCCUGAUGCGGCAGCGCCGCGUGCGUGAUGACGGGCUACGGGGGGUAAACCGCUUUGGACGGUGACGAAGCGUGAGUGACGGUAAUGGGUAAAGAAGCACCGGCUAACUACGUG
rnacentral:rRNA from 1 species